UGGGGAAUUUCGGACAAUGGGCGAAAGCCUGAUCCAGCAAUGCCGCGUGUGUGAAGAAGGCCUUCGGGUUGUAAAGCACUUUUGUCCGGAAAGAAAUCCUUGGCUCUAAUACAGUCGGGGGAUGACGGUACCGGAAGAAUAAGCACCGGCUAACUACGUGCCAGCAGCCGCGGUAAUACGUAGGGUGCAAGCGUUAAUCGGAAUUACUGGGCGUAAAGCGUGCGCAGGCGGUUUGCUAAGACCGAUGUGAAAUCCCCGGGCUCAACCUGGGAACUGCAUUGGUGACUGGCAGGCUAGAGUAUGGCAGAGGGGGGUAGAAUUCCACGUGUAGCAGUGAAAUGCGUAGAGAUGUGGAGGAAUACCGAUGGCGAAGGCAGCCCCCUGGGCCAAUACUGACGCUCAUGCACGAAAGCGUGGGGAGCAAACAGGAUUAGAUACCCUGGUAGUCCACGCCCUAAAACGAUGUCAACUAGUUGUUGGGGAUUCAUUUCCUUAGUAACGUAGCUAACGCGUGAAGUUGACCGCCUGGGGAGUACGGUCGCAAGAUUAAAACUCAAAGGAAUUGACGGGGUCAUAGCUGUUUCCU
rnacentral:rRNA from 1 species